GUCUUAACUGGGCGUUAAGUUGCAGGGUAUAGACCCGAAACCCGGUGAUCUAGCCAUGGGCAGGUUGAAGGUUGGGUAACACUAACUGGAGGACCGAACCGACUAAUGUUGAAAAAUUAGCGGAUGACUUGUGGCUGGGGGUGAAAGGCCAAUCAAACCGGGAGAUAGCUGGUUCUCCCCGAAAGCUAUUUAGGUAGCGCCUCGUGAAUUCAUCUCCGGGGGUAGAGCACUGUUUCGGCAAGGGGGUCAUCCCGACUUACCAACCCGAUGCAAACUGCGAAUACCGGAGAAUGUUAUCACGGGAGACACACGGCGGGUGCUAACGUCCGUCGUGAAGAGGGAAACAACCCAGACCGCCAGCUAAGGUCCCAAAGUCAUGGUUAAGUGGGAAACGAUGUGGGAAGGCCCAGACAGCCAGGAUGUUGGCUUAGAAGCAGCCAUCAUUUAAAGAAAGCGUAAUAGCUCACUGGUCGAGUCGGCCUGCGCGGAAGAUGUAACGGGGCUAAACCAUGCACCGAAGCUGCGGCAGCGACACUGUGUGUUGUUGGGUAGGGGAGCGUUCUGUAAGCCUGUGAAGGUGUGCUGUGAGGCAUGCUGGAGGUAUCAGAAGUGCGAAUGCUGACAUAAGUAACGAUAAAGCGGGUGAAAAGCCCGCUCGCCGGAAGACCAAGGGUUCCUGUCCAACGUUAAUCGGGGCAGGGUGAGUCGACCCCUAAGGCGAGGCCGAAAGGCGUAGUCGAUGGGAAACAGGUUAAUAUUCCUGUACUUGGUGUUACUGCGAAGGGGGGACGGAGAAGGCUAUGUUGGCCGGGCGACGGUUGUCCCGGUUUAAGCGUGUAGGCUGGUUUUCCAGGCAAAUCCGGAAAAUCAAGGCUGAGGCGUGAUGACGAGGCACUACGGUGCUGAAGCAACAAAUGCCCUGCUUCCAGGAAAAGCCUCUAAGCAUCAGGUAACAUCAAAUCGUACCCCAAACCGACACAGGUGGUCAGGUAGAGAAUACCAAGGCGCUUGAGAGAACUCGGGUGAAGGAACUAGGCAAAAUGGUGCCGUAACUUCGGGAGAA
rnacentral:rRNA from 1 species